UCACCGGGUGUAAAUCAGCUUG
rnacentral:miRNA from 1 species